rnacentral:lncRNA from 1 species
UUUUAUUCUAAAUUAUAGAAUAUUUUAAAAUGAAUAAAUAUUUAUUGAUAAAGAUAUCUAAGUCGAAACCAAAUAAAUAUCGCCAAAAGAUAGUACCAAAAGAAAGUCUUGUAUUUUUUAUUUUAUGUCGUUCAACCAUACAAAUAAUUAUUAUUAUUUUUGUUGAAUUGGAUCCAAAACAGAAGAAUUUACGUAUAUCUCAAAUUGUUUUUACAACCAUGCUACCAUUGACUAUCAGUGCUUAGUUAAGAGAUUUAAGAAAAUUGUAGCCGAG